GUACGGUAUUUCUAAAGUAGAAGAAAAUUUGUUGUCUGUGAAAUACGACACUGGACAAAGCCACUCUUGCACAGAAAUUGCAAGUUUAUUGAAUCAAUCGGUUUCAGAACUUUGUUUUCGUAUUAAAAUAAUUUGAUUAUCGUUAAUAACAAUGAAAAUUACAUUACGUUAAUAAUGAGAGAAGAACCUUCAUCCAUGUGUUCCUAAAUAUUUUAAAUUUUCUGGGAUUAAGCGAAUAACAACAUUGAUUAGUUCAUUAAUUGGUGAAAGAGGUGAUGUUAGUGUUGAAAAAAUUGAAGUGAAGAGCAGGGUCAUCCCAUCAUGAAUAGUCAAAAAGUGAUGGCAUCGAAUGCAACAGUUAAUUCAGAAAUUGAUGUGAACUCAGAAACGGGUCUCCCACCGUUUGCCUUCUUCUCUCCGCCGCCAACUCCGCUUGUGGUGCUUUCGCUGGCUCCCUUUUCGGCUACGGUGCUGGAUUGAUCAAGAAGAAAGGCUUUAAAGGAUCCUUUAUUGAAGCAGGGUCUAAUGCUAAGCCAUUAAUGCUGGGCUAGCUGGAUGUUGUGCUGGUCUUGCUACAAGUUUUCCUGGUACACCCCAAUCACUUCUACAGAACUGCCUUACUCUGGGGGUUCUUUCUUUUAUCGUUGAAGGGUUAACCAAGCAGGGAUCAGUACUUGCAUACCCCAAGUCCAAGAAAACUGUACACAACCAAGCAUGAUUCCUACAUCUCAUAAAGGGUAUAUUGCUUUCUUUUUUUUUCUUUUGCAUCAUUAAGAUAAGGUUAAGGUGUAUAGCAUAUGCACCUUUCUUUUGGCUUCAUUGUAGCUUUAUGGACACUUUUAGAUAUAGGGGUGAGAUACAUUGUAACAAGGGCGAGUUAGAAAACAAUGCCCUUUAUUUUUUUUUUUAGAAAAGGUUUUACCCAGAACUUGGUAGCAACAUUUUCUUGAUAUAUAUUAAUAAUGAU